rnacentral:misc_RNA from 1 species
UUCACUGUCAGUCUCUGAUUCCUCUGCAGCAUAUUCAAAUAAGGACCAAGUCAGUACCUUGAUGAAGUGAGCUACAAUAACCAUAAAACUAUUAAUCAUUCUUACUGAAAUUCAUUUCCAAUUUGAAGUCGGGACAAUGACCACACAUGAUAGUAAGAAAUAUUUUCCAAGUCUUCAACACACAUAAAUAAUUCAGUAAAGUGUUAACUUUGUAAACAGAAGGGAAAAGAAAAAGGAGGGGGGGGGG